rnacentral:rRNA from 1 species
CCUACGUGAGGCAGCAGUGGGGAAUAUUGCGCAAUGGGCGAAAGCCUGACGCAGCGACGCCGCGUGAGGGAUGAAGGUCUUCGGAUCGUAAACCUCUGUCAGCAGGGAAGAACGGUCACUGUGCUAAUCAGCAGUGAAUUGACGGUACCUGCAAAGGAAGCACCGGCUAACUCCGUGCCAGCAGCCGCGGUAAUACGGAGGGUGCGAGCGUUAAUCGGAAUUACUGGGCGUAAAGCGCUCGUAGGCGGUAUGUCAAGUCAAGGGUGAAAUCCCCGCGCUAAACGUGGGAACUGCCUUUGAAACUGGCAAACUGGAGUGUGUGAGAGGAUAGUGGAAUUCCAGGGGUAGGAGUGAAAUCCGUAGAUAUCUGGAGGAACAUCAGUGGCGAAGGCGACUAUCUGGCACAUAACUGACGCUGAGGAGCGAAAGCGUGGGUAGCAAACAGGAUUAGAUACCCUAGUAGUC